rnacentral:rRNA from 1 species
UACGUAGGGUGCGAGCGUUAAUCGGAAUUACUGGGCGUAAAGCGUGCGCAGGCGGUUUCUGAAGUCCGUUGUGAAAGCCCCGGGCUCAACCUGGGAAUGGCAGUGGAAACUAGGAGACUUGAAUCUGGCAGAGGGGGGUGGAAUGCCACGUGUAGCAGUGAAAUGCGUAGAGAUGUGGCGGAACACCGAUGGCGAAGGCAGCCCCCUGGGUCAAGAUUGACGCUCAGGCACGAAAGCGUGGGGAGCAAACAGG